rnacentral:rRNA from 1 species
CCUUUUUGGGUGACCUAUAGAAUACUCAAGCUAUGCAUCCAACGCGUUGGGAGCUCUCCCAUAUGGUCGACCUGCAGGCGGCCGCGAAUUCACUAGUGAUUAGAGUUUGAUCAUGGCUCAGAGUGAACGCUGGCGGCGUGCUUAACACAUGCAAGUCGAACGGAAACAGCAGAGCUUGCUCUGGCUGUCGAGUGGCGCACGGGUGAGUAAUGUAUAGCUAAUGUGCCCCAUAGAGAGGAAUAACUACUGGAAACGGUAGCUAAUGCCUUAUACUCCUUUCUGCUUAAUGUAGAUUGGGAAAUGUUUUUUCGCUAUGGGAUCGGGCUAUAUGGUAUCAGCUUGUUGGUGAGGUAAGAGCUCACCAAGGCUAUGACGCCUAGCUGGUCUGAGAGGAUGAUCAGCCACACUGGAACUGAGACACGGUCCAGACUCCUACGGGAGGCAGCAGUGGGGAAUAUUGCACAAUGGAGGAAACUCUGAUGGAGCAACGCCGCGUGGAGGAUGACGCAUUUCGGUGUGUAAACUCUUUUUAUAUAGGAAGAUAAUGACGGUACUAUAUGAAUAAGCACCGGCUAACUCCGUGCCAGCAGCCGCGGUAAUACGGAGGGUGCAAGCGUUACUCGGAAUCACUGGGCGUAAAGCGCGCGCAGGCGGUUAGAAAAGUCAGAUGUGAAAUCCUAUAGCUCAACUAUAGAACUGCAUCUGAAACUCUCUAACUAGAAUGUGGGAGAGGUAAGUGGAAUUAGUGGUGUAGGGGUAAAAUCCGCAGAGAUCACUAGGAAUACCAAAAGCGAAGGCAACUUACUGGAACAUUACUGACGCUGAGCGCGAAAGCGUGGGGAGCAACAGGAUUAGAUACCCUGGUAGUUCACGCCCUAACGAUGAAUGUUAGUCGUUGGAUAGCUAGUCUAUUCAGUGAUGCAGCUAACGCAUUAAACAUUCGCUGGGGAGUACGGUCGCAGAUUAAACUCAAGGAUAGACCGGGAUCUCGACAGUGUUGAGCAUGUGUUUAUUCGAGAACCGAGACUAGCUGCUGACUCCUAGACCUUCCAAUGAUUGUGCUUCGAACUGGAACGGCUAAGGUGUGUCUCAGCUCGGUCUGAAAGUUUAGAUAGGAUU